GAAAAGACUCACUAUUAAUAUAACUAUGAAUAUGUUAAGUGAGAAAAAUUAAUCACCCAAUGCUAUCACUUUAAAUGUAUUUGCCAGUGACCCUGGGCUUACCUAGUAUGAAUAUAUGACAUCUUUAUGACACUGGAACAUUUAGGUUGGGUGACUAUAUGUCUGAGAUAGUGUGGAAGAAAUUGUCCAUAAGGCAAACAUUUUCACAGCUUUAUCUCUGAGAACAUCCAUCUCUGAAAAAACACAUGUGAAGAAAUAUGUUGAAAGACAUGAGCAUUUGUGAUGUAAGAGCAGAUUACAGGAUAUGAAUUUGUUUUGUUAUAAGCAACAAGAAAAUGCUUUGAAGAGGAUUUUUCUUGAAAUAAAUUCUUGAGGAAAGUAUUAGAUAAAAAGAUAUUCCAGAUUUCUUCACAUAAGUGUACUCAUUAGCAAGAUGUCUCUAAUAGUUGAUGUGC
rnacentral:lncRNA from 1 species